ACACUGAACAUUGAGCCUUGAUGUGUAGGAUAGGUGGGAGGCUUUGAAGUGUGGACGCCAGUCUGCAUGGAGCCGACCUUGAAAUACCACCCUUUAAUGUUUGAUGUUCUAACGUGGGCCCCUUACCGGGGUUGCGGACAGUGUCUGGUGGGUAGUUUGACUGGGGCGGUCUCCUCCUAAAGAGUAACGGAGGAGCACGAAGGUUGGCUAAUCCUGGUCGGACAUCAGGAGGUUAGUGCAAUGGCAUAAGCCAGCUUGACUGCGAGCGUGACGGCGCGAGCAGGUGCGAAAGCAGGUCAUAGUGAUCCGGUGGUUCUGAAUGGAAGGGCCAUCGCUCAACGGAUAAAAGGUACUCCGGGGAUAACAGGCUGAUACCGCCCAAGAGUUCAUAUCGACGGCGGUGUUUGGCACCUCGAUGUCGGCUCAUCACAUCCUGGGGCUGAAGUAGGUCCCAAGGGUAUGGCUGUUCGCCAUUUAAAGUGGUACGCGAGCUGGGUUUAGAACGUCGUGAGACAGUUCGGUCCCUAUCUGCCGUGGGCGCUGGAGAACUGAGGGGGGCUGCUCCUAGUACGAGAGGACCGGAGUGGACGCAUCACUGGUGUUCGGGUUGUCAUGCCAAUGGCACUGCCCGGUAGCUAAAUGCGGAAGAGAUAAGUGCUGAAAGCAUCUAAGCACGAAACUUGCCCCGAGAUGAGUUCUCCCUGACUCCUUGAGAGUCCUGAAGGAACGUUGAAGACGACGACGUUGAUAGGCCGGGUGUGUAAGCGCAGCGAUGCGUUGAGCUAACCGGUACUAAUGAACCGUGAGGCUUAACCUUACAACGCCGAAG
rnacentral:rRNA from 2 species